rnacentral:rRNA from 1 species
UACGAAGGGGGCUAGCGUUGCUCGGAAUCACUGGGCGUAAAGCGCACGUAGGCGGCUUUUUAAGUCAGGGGUGAAAUCCUGGAGCUCAACUCCAGAACUGCCUUUGAUACUGAGAAGCUCGAGUCCGGGAGAGGUGAAUGGAACUGCGAGUGUAGAGGUGAAAUUCGUAGAUAUUCGCAAGAACACCAGUGGCGAAGGCGGCUCACUGGCCCGGUACUGACGCUGAGGUGCGAAAGCGUGGGGAGCAAACAGG